rnacentral:rRNA from 1 species
CCUACGGGUGGCACCAGUGGGGAAUAUUGCACAAUGGGCGCAAGCCUGAUGCAGCCAUGCCGCGUGUAUGAAGAAGGCCUUCGGGUUGUAAAGUACUUUCAGCGGGGAGGAAGGCGAUAAGGUUAAUAACCUUGUCGAUUGACGUUACCCGCAGAAGAAGCACCGGCUAACUCCGUGCCAGCAGCCGCGGUAAUACGGAGGGUGCAAGCGUUAAUCGGAAUUACUGGGCGUAAAGCGCACGCAGGCGGUCUGUCAAGUCGGAUGUGAAAUCCCCGGGCUCAACCUGGGAACUGCGUUCGAAACUGGCAGGCUGGAGUCUUGUAGAGGGGGGUAGAAUUCCAGGUGUAGCGGUGAAAAGCGUAGAGAUCUGGAGGAAUACCGGUGGCGAUGGCGGCCCCCUGGACAAAGACUGACGCUCAGGUGCGAAAGCGUGGGGAGCAAACAGGAUUAGAUACCCCAGUAGUC